rnacentral:rRNA from 1 species
CAGUCGCCGCGGGAAUACGAAGGGGGCUAGCGUUGUUCGGAUUUACCGGGCGUAAAGGGCGCGUAGGCGGACUGAUAAGUCAGGGGUGAAAUCCCAAGGCUCAACCUUGGAACUGCCUUUGAUACUGUUUGUCUUGAGUUCGAGAGAGGUAAGUGGAACUGCGAGUGUAGAGGUGAAAUUCGUAGAUAUUCGCAAGAACACCAGUGGCGAAGGCGGCUUACUGGCUCGAAACUGACGCUGAGGCUCGAAAGCGUGGGGAGCAAAUGGGAUUAGAGACCCCCGUAGUCCCUGUCUCUUAUAC